GACGAGGGACCUAGCGUUGUUCGGAAUCAUUGGGCGUAAAGCGGAUGUAGGUGGCUUUGUAAGUCAGGUGUGAAAUCCCCAGGCUUAACCUGGGAACUGCAUCCGAUACUGGUCGGCUUGAAUCCGGGAGAGGGAUGCAGAAUUCCAGGUGUAGCGGUGAAAUGCGUAGAUAUCUGGAGGAAUACCGGUGGCGAAGGCGGCAUCCUGGACCGGCAUUGACGCUGAACAGCGAAAGCUAGGGGAGCAAACGGG
rnacentral:rRNA from 1 species